CUGGAUCCUGCCAUCAACUACAUGAACUCGGAAGUGAAUCCUUUCCUGUGUGAGGCUCACUCGGAAGUGAAUCCUUUCCUGUCAGAGGCUCGCUCGGAAGUGAAUCCUUUCCUGUCUGAGGCUCAGGUAUCAGAAGUGCCUUUUAUAUAUCCUAAGGAAGAUGAGAGGCCAGCAAAAGCAACCAGGAGAAGAGAUCGGAGAGGUGAUACCCUGGGAAGGUGAGGAGACAGACUGGCCCGCGGCACCGAAGCUGCUGAGUCAUCAGUGAAAAUGCGGACCCGUUUCUGCAAAUCAAGUUCCACUUUCCCCGAGACAUCCAUUUCAUAAGAGAACAAAACUGGUUCCUGAGUUACGACAAAAAUCCCUCCGUGGAAUGUAGCACGUUGACAACUCAUGCAUUUUAACUCCACCAUUUCCUGGUAAAAUAGUCAUAUUACUCAACACUGAGAAGGAAGCUAAUUCUUGUCCUUUUAUAAUUCGGCACAAUGGCCAUAAACCCAAAGGAAGGAAAAUAACGG
ensembl:lncRNA